rnacentral:tRNA from 1 species
UCGACGUUCUGGUCUCGGUCAUGUGACUCCCCCGCUUCCAGCGCGCGGUAGGUACCGGUUACCGCCGAUACAUGGCGGUACUACCCCGUUUGCGCUGAG